rnacentral:rRNA from 1 species
GACGAACGCUGGCGGCGCGCUUAACACAUGCAAGUCGAGCGAAGCGGCGGACGGUUGAGUAACACGUGAGUAACCUGCCUUAGACAUUGGGAUAGCCUCGGAAAACCGGGAUUAAUACCAAAUGGUCUAAGAUGGACUCGCGUCACAUUAGCUAGUUGGUGGGUAACGGCCGCCCAAGGCGACGAUGGGUAGACGGCCUGAGAGGGGGAACGGCGACAUGGGAACUGAGAAACGGUCGAAACUCUACGUGAGGCAGCAGUGGGGAAUAUUGCACAAUGGAGGGAACUCUGAGGCAGCGACGCCGCGUGAACGAAGAAGGCGUUCGAGUAGUAAAGUUCUUUUAUAUGGGAAGCGGUACCAUAAGAAAAAGCCCCGGCUAACUACGUGCCAGCAGCCGCGGUAAUAC